rnacentral:tRNA from 7 species
GGGUGGUUAGCUCAGUUGGUUAGAGCACCUGCUUCACACGCAGGGGGUCGGUGGUUCGAAUCCACUACUACCCACCA